UUUGGGGAUUUUAUAUCGUCAAAUCCUGAGACCAUUUUUUUUUCUACUGUUGGUCUUUCUUGUCUGCAGAUAUUGUGAAAAAAGUGUUCAAACUUUUGUGUCAAAACUGAAAACUCACAAGUAAAUUGAAAAAAACAUUUAAAUACACCUAUGAGAUACACUGUUGGAAGUUACAAUAACAUGUUUUAAUCUAAUGAGAAACUGUCAGGCAAUUAUUAAUGAAUAGUUCUUUAACUCAUUAGAUAUUUAGUGACUCUGUCAAGGUGAGUAGUCAGAUCCCAGAGCAGAGUCAGGUGUGAUGAAUUAGAAGUGAUGGUUUAUUUGCCUCACAAUGACAAAAAAA